rnacentral:lncRNA from 1 species
GCAAAAGGGAUCUCAUAGCUCAAGAAUCUAAUGGUGAAGGGAAAGAGUAGAUAGAUGCCUCUUUCUUAUUUUCUAUCACAGACUUCAAUUCUAGACUCAGCCUUGUAUACAGUGUGACAUCACUUAAGGAAGAACCCUAGGUGUCUUCCCCAGGUCUGAGUUGAAGAGAGAAAUGACAUGGCUGGUAGGGACUACUAGAGUGAGGAUAUUUCCUAUCUUUCUACAGGCUGUCAACAAUCCAGAUGAGGAACAUGUGGCCUUUGUUGUGUUGAUUGAUAUUAUGCAGAACCAAUCUGAAGACAAUGGCUUGCCAAGCCAACCUGCUGCUCCCCGUGAAUCUUGGAAGACCCCAUUCAGGAGAACUUUGGAUUGUUUUACAAAAUGCUUUGGCUUCUCUUGAAAGGUAACAGAACAUAACAUUCUCAAGGAAAGAAGAAAAGUUUUGAAGCAUAACUGACCUUAACUUGACAAACUUGGAGGAAGACUCCAGAGAAUUCAUUUGAGGAAUUUUCAAAAUAUUCUAGAGUGACAAUGUAUUAUUACUUGCUACAUAAAAUUAUUAAAAGGCAUUUAACAACACUUAAUUAGAAGUCUAAGUGAACAUCACAACUUAAAAAAACUUUUAUCAAAGCCUAUGUCUCUCAACUCCACAAGAUAAAAAAGCCAAAACCAUAUGCCACCACAAUCAGCCGAGAGAGAGAGAGAGAGAGAGAGAGAGAGAGAGAGAUCCAGAAUGUUCUUAACAAUUCGGAGAAAUCCUUUGAAAAACCUGAUGAAAACCAUGAACAGUCUCUGCUAAAGAAUUCUUAGGCAUCCCACUGUAUUUUUCAGUUUCAUUGGUAAAUUCAAUCAAUAUAUGGUGAAAAUUGAUACUAAAGAUAGCCAAACUUUAUGAGAGAAUAGAGCAAAGAACAAUCCUAAUUCAUUUUAUGAGGCCAGCAUUAAUCUGGUAACAAACUUAACAAAGACAUUAAAAGAAAAUUACAUACCAAUAUCACUCAUUAGCAUAAAUGAAAAAAUAAUUAACAAAAUACUGUCAAGUUGAACCCAACAUUACAUUAAAAAGAUAACACUUUACAAACAAAUGAGGUAUAACUCAGAAUGUGGUUGACUUAAUGUUCAAAUAUUAAUCAAAAUGGAAAACUUUAGCUAGUAAAGGACUCUGUGAUGGGGACAAAAAUAAAAUUACAAGCUGGAAGGGAAGACUUGCA